rnacentral:rRNA from 1 species
UACAGAGGCCUCGAGCGUUAAUCGGAAUUACUGGGCUUAAAGCGUACGUAGGCGGGCGCGCAGGCAUCUUGUGAAAUCCCACGGCUCAACCGUGGAAUGGCUUGGUGAACCGCGCGUCUUGAGUCGGGUAGGGGCUGCCGGAACGAUAGGUGGAGCGGUGAAAUGCGUUGAUAUCUAUCGGAACGCCAAAGGUGAAGACAGGCAGCUGGGCCCGCACUGACGCUGAGGUACGAAAGCGUGGGGAGCAAACGGG